GAUCAUGGCUCAGAUUGAACGCUGGCGGCAGGCCUAACACAUGCAAGUCGAGCGGUAAAGAGAAGCUUGCUUCUCUUGAGAGCGGCGGACGGGUGAGUAAUGCCUAGGAAUCUGCCUGGUGGUGGGGGAUAACGUUCGGAAACGGACGCUAAUACCGCAUACGUCCUACGGGAGAAAGCGGGGGAUCUUCGGACCUCGCGCCAUUAGAUGAGCCUAGGUCGGAUUAGGUAGUUGGUGGGGUAAAGGCUCACCAAGCCGACGAUCUGUAGCUGGUCUGAGAGGACGACCAGCCACACUGGGACUGAGACACGGCCCAGACUCCUACGGGAGGCAGCAGUGGGGAAUUUUGGACAAUGGGCGCAAGCCUGAUCCAGCCAUGCCGCGUGCAGGAUGAAGGCCUUCGGGUUGUAAACUGCUUUUGUACGGAACGAAAAGGUUUGGCCUAAUAAGCUGAGCUCAUGACGGUACCGUAAGAAUAAGCACCGGCUAACUACGUG
rnacentral:rRNA from 1 species